GUAGGUGGCAAGCGUUGUCCGGAAUUAUUGGGCGUAAAGCGCGCGCAGGCGGUUCUUUAAGUCUGAUGUGAAAGCCCACGGCUCAACCGUGGAGGGUCAUUGGAAACUGGAGAACUUGAGUACAGAAGAGGAGAGCGGAAUUCCACGUGUAGCGGUGAAAUGCGUAGAGAUGUGGAGGAACACCAGUGGCGAAGGCGGCUUUCUGGUCUGUAACUGACGCUGAGGCGCGAAAGCGUGGGGAGCAAACAGGAUUAGAUACCCUGGUAGUCCACGCCGUAAACGAUGAGUGCUAAGUGUUAGGGGGUUUUCCGCCCCCCUUAGUGCUGCAGCUAACGCAUUAAGCACUCCGCCUGGGAGUACGGCCGCAAGGCUG
rnacentral:rRNA from 1 species